AACCCUUCAAGCGCUGCUUGAUGUUGGGCGUUUGUCCCGCCUCGGGCGUGGACUCGCCUCAAAAGCAUUGGCGGCCCGUGUGACGGCUUCGAGCGCAGCAGACGCGCGCCUCGUCUCCACGCACUGGUGUCCAGCAAGCCUUACCCACAA
rnacentral:misc_RNA from 2 species